UACAGAGACUGCAAGCGUUAUUCGGAUUCACUGGGCGUAAAGGGUGCGCAGGCGGUCGGGUGUGUCAGAUGUGAAAUCCCGAGGCUCAACCUCGGAACUGCGUCUGAAACUACUCGACUAGAGUACUGGAGAGGGUAACGGAAUUCACGGUGUAGCAGUGAAAUGCGUAGAGAUCGGGAGGAACAUCUGUGGCGAAGGCGGCCACCUGGACCAACACUGACACUGAGGCACGAAAGCGUGGGGAGCAAACAGG
rnacentral:rRNA from 1 species